rnacentral:rRNA from 1 species
GACGAACGCUGGCGGCGUGCUUAACACAUGCAAGUCGAACGGAAAGGCCCUGCUUGCAGGGUACUCGAGUGGCGAACGGGUGAGUAACACGUGGGUGAACUGCCCUGCACUUCGGGGUAAGACUGGGAAACUGGGUCUAAUACCGGAUAGGAGCCAUCCUGAGGGUGAUGGGUGGAAAGUUUUUUGGGUGUGGGGUGGGACUCCGGCCUAUCAGCUUGCUGGUGGGGUAAUGGCCUACCAAGGCGGCGACGGGUAGCCGGCCUGGGGGGGUGGACGGGCACAAUGGGACUGGGGAUCGGCCCAGACUCCUACCGGAGGCAACAGUGGGGAAUAUUGCACAAUGGGCGCGAGCCUGAUGCAGCGACGCCGCGUGGGGGAUGACGGCCUUCGGGUUGUAAACUCCUUUCGCUAGGGACGAAGCUGUUUGUGACGGUACCUAGAUAAGAAGCACCGGCUAACUACGUG